ACCAAAUCUGAGGUAAAAGAUUGAUUCUUCUCUCUGUUCCUCUCCACCAAUUUGGUUUCGUUUUUUAAAACCAUUGAUUCGAUUCGCAAAAUGUGUUAUAUGUAUCAUUGAUCUGUUGAAAUCUUGGUUUGGUGGUGAAGACAAUGCAGUUCAAGAGAAGAUGUGUGACAGUUUACAGAGAUUUCCCUGAAGGUUGUGGUGUUCCUUCAAGACGUAAAUCAUCCAAUGCUGAUGAUGAGUUCUUAAAGCAAUCUGUGUUUCAGGCUCAUGGAUACUUCCCUGACAUAAAAGAGGCAUCAUCAGAUCCUUGGGAGACAAAGACUUCUAGAAUUGACGGUUUGAGGGAAGAUGGAUUGAUUCUUGAAUCUAAUGGAGGUGUUAAAUAUCAUCAAGAGGAAAAAGGUAUAGGAGAAAGAAGGGAAGAUAAGCAAAAGAACACGUCUUGGGUGAAGAACAAAGCUUUGAUGAGUUCACAUAACUCAACUUUUACACAAAAAAAGAGAAAAAAAAAGUGGAGUUGCGACAGGUGUUAUGGAUACCUCAAGGAGAAGUAUUGUUUUGGGACUCUCAGCUAAGCCGAAUUGCCCUUGGACACACCCGAAGAAACGAGUAAGAAAGGCGAAGAAUCAGGUUACUCUCAAAUCAAGACUCUUUCUUUAGUUACUUUUAUAAACCAUAGGUUUGUAGAAGUAAGUACAUUACUCUAUUACAUUACUACAGGUUUCAGAUUAGAUGAAUCUGAAUACAAUAUCUCAUUUGUGUAGCAGAAUUUGACUGACUUGUUUUGUUACAACUUUGGUAUAUUUUUCAUCUGAUUUUUUUUUGGUCAACAAUCAUAUUGACUCAA